CCUGUUGUCUACAUUGCACAGGGUUUACAUACUCAAAUCCCUUCUCCUUUUAUCUGCACUACCGUUUUUGGUUUUGUGUGAACUUGAACAAUUUGGGGCCAAAUUUAUGAACUUUGGCUUAGAACAUGGUUUAACCAUUGGUCUAAAAUGGCUAGCUACUAGCUUUUCUCAUAGGCCAACCUGGUGAAAUUAGCCACGAUGCUGAGGACGGUCAGCAGAUAAUUGUAUCCAGUAACAAAUUCCGUCUCGGCCAGUUUAAAAUUGGCAUGACCCAAUGCUUUUUUUUCACUAAUGCAUCCUUAACAGAAGUCCCCCGGCACGUUCUGAUACUCAAAUUAACUGCAUCACAUGAAAGAAUCUGUCUGGACGAUUACCUCAGUGUAAGAUGCCUAGUUCCUGACAAUAUUCACCACCUGUGAUGUAAGUAUGAAUCUCCCGUGUUAUCAUUUCUGUUUCAACAUGUGAAUUUACAUUCAUUGUGGUAUUGUUAAGGAAACUACAGCCAUCACCUUAAAAAUGAAGCCUAAGAAUGAAUUUCAUAAAGCGCUAGGCCUACGACUUCAGCCUUCACCUACACUGCUACUAGGGCCUAAUAAUAUCUCAGCAUAUGAGGCUGCAUGGAUGUGUACACUAGCCUACAAGUACGUUAGAGCUACAAUGUUUUUAUAAUCCUUAUCUAGCCGAUCUAGCCUACCUUGUUUAACAGUGUAAAUUGCCUGGUCUGGCUAGGUUCACCAAGUGUCCAGUAAAGUGAAGCUACACCAGAAAUCCGCUGAGGUGAAGCCUAGCCUCCUCAUGGCUUCACUACUUAUGAAACCCAUUCAAGGCCUUAAUGAAGGUGUUUUAUUGCUCUGACAUGGGUGAGCUUCUAGAGUCCUCCCAGACCGUUCUUGGCGCUGGCUCAUGCAGAGGAAUUUAGGACCCUGUGGUGUCAGGGCAGGUCUACCAGGUCUCAGCCUGGUAGAUUCUCACAAGGCUGGAGAGAGGGUGCCAUAAAUCUGGACCCUUUUGUCAAUCCAGGUAAUUGGUUUUCGCUCCAGGAGGUGAAUGUUUCCGCUUGUUUAUAUUGAUGUGUUUAUAACAUGUCUAUAAAGGGCUAUAAGUGUAAUGCCAUUUAUUCAUAUACGUAUGUAUAUUGCAUAGUUAUAACCGUUUAAUACUGUUUACAUAUUCAUUACAUGUUUUAUUGCUAUAAAACAUGUAAUUAAUAUGUAAACAGUAUUAGACGGUUAUAACUAUGCAAUAUACAUGUACAAUAAGAUUUCAAGUCAUUAGGAUGACCAAAAAUCACAAACAUCUUCAAAGGAAACUUGUGUGUCUGGUGACUAUCAAGAGUACAGUGAUGGGCCUCAACAUCAUGAACAUGGAACUGGACAGCACUUUAGUAUAAACCAGUUAUAAGUAUAUAGCGUCUGAGGGCCUUCACAGCCGACCGCUCAGACUGGUGAGGGCCUUCACAGCCGACCGCUCAGACUGGUGAGGGCCUUCACAGCCGACCGCUCAGACUGGUGAGGGCCUUCACAGCCGACCGCUCAGACUGGUGAGGGCCUUCACAGCCGACCGCUCAGACUGGUGAGGGCCUUCACAGCCGACCGCUCAGACUGGUGAGGGCCUUCACAGCCGACCGCUCAGAGCAUACCAGCCAACUGUUUUUACGUGGUUCUUCUAGCCGGUUUUAGUGACCAAUAGUUUUUUACGUGGGCCGUCAUUUCUCUGGAUUUAGCGACCAGUAGUGUUUACAAGUAAAUGAUUUAGAAAUGUACAUGUGGUGGUGUUUUUGAUUCCAUGGGGAAUAGUUAGGUCAUUUCUGAACCUUAUUUGGUAAUACUGUAAAUUUUACUAUGCUACUACAUGGAAGGAUUUUAUUUCUACUUUUCCAUUGACUUUGAUUAAAAUAACAAACACCUGCAUCAGCUAGGCUGGGACUAUGCUGCACACUGGAGAGCUUCGUCACGGGAAACAGUCAUGAAAUAUCCCCUAAUUUGGCGACAUAUUUUAAAAUGUUUACAGGCAGCUGACAUGGGCAAUGACCAAUCACUACUUUCAAAGGACGACAUUACUCGUCCAUCUAGUUAUUCACCCACACAUGUCAAAGUCGAACCGCAGUGCUGAUGUUUCUUUACUCUGAGGUCCAACCAUGCUAAUGCAGUGGAGUUGCCAAUUCAUGUUCAGUUGAGCUACGCAGGGGGCGUGGUAAGCGAGGGUCUCAAUAGACUUCAAUAGGAGUAUGGUGGCGAGCGGCAAAACGCAAGUGGUGCGAUUUGUGGUGCCCGCUCCUGUGAGCGGCGCCGCUGGCUUAGAGUUUGAGCUGCCACAAGGUGAAAUGAGUUGAAGUCUUGAGAGGCCGACGCGCAUGGUUGACCUAUGAGCAGAGUACAUCUUGUCCCACUAAGUUUUUUUUAAUGACAACAUUCCAGCUGACAAAAACCGUGACUGCUGGUAGACACCUUUUUUUUUCUUCUGCGGUUCAAUUGUCGCUUACAGUGUGUAAGUGCCUUUAUCGCGGAGUGAUCCUUCAUGUCGAAGCCACUCGGCAGAGGCGGAGAAGUGGUGAACUCUGAUUUGCGGAGUGCGGGCACAGGUCACGUCAACAUGGAUAUCUAAUAGGUACGCAUUCUCAGGAAUUUCAAUUAUGACGGGUGUUUUCGCAUGUUUUUAUGUUAAAUGUUUAUUAGGCUAGACUUCUGACAUGUUGAAAUAUAUUAAGCAUUGGCCAUUAUAACUAUGGAGAAAUAUUGUUUGUGAAGGGAAGUAUUAAUUUUAAAGAUGCACUCUCAAACGUUUGUAUAAUUUCAGACAGUUUUGAAAGUGGUGCUCAUGAGCCAAAAGUGGUCCCCAUUUUUUUGUUGUGUGUACUAAGUAAUUUUAUUUUUUACAAAAUGUGUGAUAUCAUACAAUCAAAUCCCUGCAAAAUAUUACGAGUUUGUUGUGCUUAAGAUCACGGACUGCAUCUUUAAUUUAUGAAAUUGUGAUUUGAGGUGCAUUUUGGAUUAUUCCGAUGUUGGUGGCUGUGUGUUUUAAUAUCAAUCGUCAUCUCCAUAAUUUUCUAAAUGUGUUAAAUUAAAUCUCUGGUAGACAUAAAAUGCAUUACAUCCAAUGUUAGUCUGCUACAGUAUAGUGUCAGUUACAUAUGGGUGCAUGCGUACGUACACCCAUACCUGAGUCAGUUACAUAUGGGUGCAUGCGUACGUACACCCAUACCUGAGUCAGUUACAUAUGGGUGCAUGCGUGCGCACACCCAUACCUGAGUCAGUUACAUAUGGGUGCAUGCGUGCGCACACCCAUACCUGAGUCUCCCCUUUAAUAAUCUUCAUUCUGCAACUUGACUCAGUCAGUGUUUACUGUGUUUGUUUGAUUUUUUAUGGAUACAAAAUAAACUGAAAUAUCACAUUUA